rnacentral:rRNA from 1 species
GAUGAACGCUGGCGGCGUGCCUAAUACAUGCCAGUCGAGCGAACGGACGAGAAGCUUGCUUCUCUGAUGUUAGCGGCGGACGGGUGAGUAACACGUGGAUAACCUACCUAUAAGACUGGGAUAACUUCGGGAAACCGGAGCUAAUACCGGAUGAUAUUUUGAACCGCAUGGUUCAAAAGUGAAAGACGGUCUUGCUGUCACUUAUAGAUGGAUCCGCGCUGCAUUAGCUAGUUGGUAAGGUAACGGCUUACCAAGGCAACGAUGCGUAGCCGACCUGAGAGGGGGAUCGGCCACACUGGAAGGGAGACACGGUCCAGACUCCUACGGGAGGCAGCAGUAGGGAAUCUUCCGCAAUGGGCGAAAGCCUGACGGAGCAACGCCGCGUGAGUGAUGAAGGUCUUCGGAUCGUAAAACUCUGUUAUUAGGGAAGAACAUAUGUGUAAGUAACUGUGCACAUCUUGACGGUACCUAAUCAGAAAGCCACGGCUAACUACGUG